ensembl:lncRNA
GGGGCUCCGGCUGCGCCCGGCCGGGCGGGAUGCGGCUCCGGGACCCGGCCUGCUGCAUCGCCCUGCGGUGCUGCAGCACAGCUCGAUAACCCUUACGGCUAGCAAUCUAAGCGAUAUUCUUACAGUUUGCUUAAGAAGAUGCUGCAAAUGUAGGGCUCCUGCGUGCCUUCAAGGUGCGUGGGUUUGUGACUCACCCCAAGGGUUCUGGGUAGGGUGCUCCUGACAGUGGACAAGCACUGAGAAACCAUAGUGCUAAGGCCCCGGAAUUUCAAAGGGCUUCAGGUGGCUCCUUUUUACCACGCUCAGGCAGCUCUUCUGGUGCUGGAAAACACCUUCCAUCACAAAAGGAAAGGGCGGGUUCCUCAGGAAAGCCAUGCAAAAGCCAGACAUCUGCUCUCCCGUGUUCACCAAAACCCCUUCCGUUCAGUUACCAUCUAACAGUGUUUGAUCCUCCCCAAAACUGGACGGAGCGCUCUGGGAUAAAUCAGCCUCCUGGAGGUGUUCCUCUCACUUUACAGACAGAAGCCAGGCACUGGGUUACACUGAGCAUCAUUUGUGUGUCUGAAGUGAUGCGGGACCUGGGAGAGGAUAUAAAUGUUGAUAGCCUGGUUUACAAGACAAGUUCUGGUUGCUGACUGAGGAGAUGUCAACAUGCAGCUCCUUGCAGCACUCACUGCUCCCGUGGCCUGGAGCACCCUGGUUACACACAGUCCUUGCCUGGAGGAACUGAUACUGCAGGUCUGCUUUCUUGGAGUGAGCACUUUGGUUUGGGGCACAGUGCAGUCAUUCUAAUUGACAUGCACUUGUCAUUUAUUUGACAAUCCCAAAUUGUCUCUGCCCAGAUCUUGGGCUGAAACUCUGUUAUUCCAGGAGCUGGUCCAUAGCAUCAUCUCUGCCCACUGUACCUAGAAGCUUUAGAAGGAGUAGUUCUGCUUUCAUUCAGCACUGAGCUCCUUGGCUAGUACAGCAUGAUGUGGUGGGAGGUUGCAUCCAGCGAGACUUUUGCUGCACUGCCAUACACUGAGGGCUGCAGGCACUCCUACAGCCAUGUCAGGUGGAGUGCAGCCAUGUCAGGUGGCAACACAAAUUGACGUGGUGGUGAGAGCAGCACUCCUCAUGAGUUAGGGCUGACACUUCUCAUAGAACAAAUGAAGCCACGCAGAUGCCCAAAGGCUAGUAGCAUUUCUCCUAAAGCCGGCACUGUGUUCAGGGACACCUCUGUUCUAUGGUGCUUUCCUGUUGAGCCCGGCAGCUCCCAUUAGAGAGAGAACAUGGGCACAAUUGAAGAUGAGUGCGUAACUGCUUAGCAAUGAUACUCCCCCCAGUUGUCUGUAUUCUACGUACAGGUAUCCCAGCAUUUUGCCACACGGUGUCCAUUAGUGCCUGCUCCUUGCUUCUCCCAGUGCAAUACAUGGCUUUGGGGCAUGCCUCUGUGCCAGUCACCAACAUGAUCAUCUGAUCUCUGGUGUGUGGAAGGGCCUUCAGGGAUCUGCACACUGCUUGCAAAAUGUGGGUAGUUGUUCCUAGACGUGAUGGUAAAAUGAUGACCUGCCUCCCAAGCACAGCAGGCAGCAUUCUUGGAAAUGUAAGCCAGUAUGCAAAAGGCAUUAUAUUUGCUUUUUAGCACUUUUUUUUUUUUUUUUUUUUUUUUUUUUUUAAGAAAAAGUGAAGACAUACCCGUCUGGAAAAAUACAUGUAGAUAUUUCAGAGUAAAAGGCUCAAUGAAUGUAUUGAAUCAAAGAAGAAAAUGCUGACGUACGGGUAGGUGAUACAGUUAUACCUGAAAUAGCCUGCUGAGGUAGUCCUCUGUUCUAUGAGGAUAUUGGGCUGCAAAGAAUGUUCAGUCAGCACAUUGUGUCACAACAGGUGAAGAGUUUCAGCCAACCCCUGUGGUGAUGGGGAUGUUUCACAUACUAAACUCUGAGCACCAGGGGCUGCCUUUGGGAGGAAGUGGCCUUGUGCUACAAGGGGUGUAGACCUCUGCCCUCAUGUUUUCACCAGCUUACGCCACUUCAUCUGAGAUGGAAGUCAGACAAGAGGAGAUGCUUUAACCCCAUGAGCCUCUGAGAAAGCUGCAGUCUCCCAGCUCCAUGGCCGGUGGGCACACUGCAACUGGCCCUGCUGGCCACUCCCGUGUCUGUUUGUCUUUACGUAUCUGGAUACCCAUUUGUAUUCUGCAGUAUGGAGCGAUCAACAGAUCUGCUGCUGGGUGAAAUGUGGAGAUGUGCUGUGUAAAGCUGACUCAGUGUCAUGUGACCUUCCAUGUUUGAAGUGAUGUCAGCUUUCUGGCUGCAGCUAAAUCACGACAUUUAAUACCAGAUUGGUAUCCCACAACUGAAUAUAGUCAAACAUUGCACAUAAAGCUGUAUUUUUCUUGUGGAUAUGGUGUUUUCUAAAGUAAACAGAGAGUUUUAAAUAAAGUACUUGAAGUCUAAAACUAGAAGAUGCUUCUUGGUGGUGCUCAUCGUUUGUUACCCACUAACAUUCAGGUUUUGUUCAAGUCCUAUCUUCAGUCUUUAAAUGAGAUCUCAG